rnacentral:miRNA from 1 species
UCCCAUCUUGUCCCGUCCCACU